AAAUGAGUGCCAAUAUAUAGAAAAUGCAUGGACCAGAAUAGGACUUCACCAUCUGCAAACCUAUAUUUAUAAAGCUAGGGAUCAUCUGUAGUUAAACAAUUCAUCCCAAGAUUCCUUGACACCGUAGUCUUUCAAUACCCAUAACUUAAAAGUGUCCUUCGCUUGACGAAUGGAAGUAGAAAGAACACAAAGCUUUCCUUCGGCCAAUACUGAAACGCCUCUAGAGAUGUUGCCCCUCAAGCAUAAUAUUUGCUAUGGUAAUGGUAUCUCUCAAUACACAUCAUUUGAAAUACUAAACGCGACCACCGAAUGAUUUCUUGAAUUACCGAUGCAAUGAAAUGCCUUGUAUACAAUUGCCAAAGAAUGCAUACGAAACAACAUAUUGCCAAUGCCAUGAGGAUGUUUAUCAAUUUUCUCCAGGAACUACCUUUCUGCUCGAGAACCUCACCAGGUAAUUUUGGGAUCAUCUAUGUGAUUGCGAAUUUUAAGGAUCUUAUAGUUACCGCUAGUUGAGUCAUAACCCAAUCCAAAACGAGAAAAUCCAUCCGGAGGAAAUGAAGCACAUAUCUAUAAAUCAUUUUAUAAAGAUAAUUUAUUUUCAAAUAUGGAAAUGGAUCAUUCUUUUUUGGUACGGACUAAAAAGAAAAUAAGUUCACGGAUUUAGUAUAAGUUUCAGCAGUAAACUGUUCCGUCGGCUAUGAGAAACCAUCUCCAAUAUUUUUCAUUUUUUAUUUAUUUCAGGUAACUAUUUAACUAAUCUAUUGAUAUUCGAAUUAUGAGGAAGAUAUAUACAGGCAUUGAAUAUUCCUGAAUUCACUGUUUGAUUGUAUAGUUUUUGCUCAAUUUCAUCUGAAAGUCGGCUCCUUUUGUUCCUCUCAAAUUCUGAAUUGUGCACUGUUGCUUUUGUGGUUCAGGAUUUAUGGUUUUGAGUUCGUACUUAGAAACACCAAAAGGAAUGAGGAUAGUUUUAGUAGCGGAUAUGUUGGUAAAAGUGCAUUGAAUCUUCCAAAACCUACGGUAGCCUGAUCCUAAAUUUAUUUUAAAAUUUUCGAUUUAGGUGAAGUUUGAUUUGAAGAUAAAAAUAUAUUUGGACAUAUAUUUUCAAAACAUAUUUUUCAACUUUAUUUUAGAAAAAUAUGCAUAUAAUUUCCAAAUUUUGGGAUUUUGAUCCAAAAUCAACUCAAUAGUCGAUUUUGGAAUUUGGAAUUUGGUCAAAAUGUGGGCAAAAUUUAUAGACAAACAUGAGUUUUGAAAAUAAAUCUCAAAUUUAUUUUGGCAAAACUCACGGCUAAACUGGGCUAUAUAUGAUUUUUUGUACGUAAGUUUUAUUUUUUUGGUUAGAAAAAAUAAUGGCUUUUCCAGAUAAAAUGCAUAUUUAGGUAUAUUGAGAGCAUUAAGUGUUUCACAAACCUGAAUGUAAGUUUUUAAGAAAUAACAAAUCUACUGAAGACAUUUUGUUAGUGUUUAACUUAUCAAAAGGUAAAUGAAUGAAAUAGUUGGUUUUUAGAGUCCCAGAUAAUAAUUUGCAAAAGGUAUUAGACUUAUCAUUUUUUAUACAUCUGAUUUAUCCAAUUAAAGGUCAAUUCUCUCCAUCCCCUUGGACGAAAACUCUAAUGUAAUAUGGCUUCCACUUUUCUAGUCAGAAUGAUUCAUAUAUUUGUAAGUUUUGAUCAACCAAGUUAUAGGCCGGGAUAAGAUAGUAGUACCAUUCCAUGAUGAUAAUGUUAAGAACUUGUUAGUUUCAAAAUUGAAAAUUGAAAGCUCCAUUUCAUUUGUUGUAACACAUUCUUUUAGUUUCCUACUUUACAAUCUAUUUUGAGCUAUCAUUUACAAAACACUAUGUCAUGACUCAACAAACAAGAAGCUGCUGAUUUCCACUUUGUUGGUGCAAAGAAUAAGCUGGACAGAGAGAGGAGCAAUGCUUUGAGAAGAUCUCCAGCGGCCACACAUUUCUUGAUUAGUGAAAUGAUGUAAUCCAUGAAUAGGGCCGCUCCUUGUUGACAAAUGUCUUGAACAAGACCAUGUGGAAGCCCUCCUUGAAGUCAUUAGAAAGAUGUCAGAAUGUAUUUGUAAAGUGGCAAAAUACAUUAGCCACUUUCUUGUCAUGCACAACAAGUCUUCAUGCAAAUGAGGCUAUAAAUAGUAAUUACCAAUCACUCAUUUCUCAUCAAUUAUCAUUAGCAAGACAAAGAAAUCAUUCUACUACUUUUCUUUUAAUUUUUGUCUUCAUAAGCUUCCCUUUGUUGUGUUUCCUUCUCAAAGUUUAGUAGUCUAAUUUCUUUUGUUCCCCUUCUAAAUAGUUGGGUUGUAAUAUUUAAUUUUGUUGAUUCAUGUAUUCUCUAUCUAAUUGGAGAUAAGGUUUUUUAAUCCUGGGGAAACAUUUCACAUUGUUGAAAUAGUUUCUUAGGACAGUGUCCAGCAAGCCAAUUGGUGUAUUUUGCUCACAAAUAAUAUUAUUAUAGUAUUAUUAUUAUUAUCAUUACUUUUCGGCGUCGUUUCCCUACACAAACUUCUGCCAUCUCCUAGCCAUUUUGAUGAGUUUCUUGGCACUGAUCUUUGUCUUUUUCUGGUUUUCUUUUGGGAAGAUUGAAACAAGAAAGUAAACAAGAAAUUUAGAGAUUUUUUGAGGGUUGAAUUGUUAAUGCUUGUCCUGAAUUGGUAAUGAAAAGGUUCAUGAAAGGGGGAUUAUUUAUACAAGAAACUGGAGACGACUAAUACAAGAAACCUUUGAACCAACUUUGCUUUUAUCUUAUUUGAGAAAUUGGUUUAAUGCAGCUUUUGACAUAACUUUCUUAUGAAUUAGGACUAGAAAUUUGGAUAUUCUGUAGAUUUAGUGGUACAGUGUCAGAUAUCUUGGAUCAGUGAUUCAGGGGGACGGAAAAGUUGACGGGGACGUCACUCAUCGUUUAGGAGCGGGGUGGUCAAAGUGGAGGCUUGCAUCAGGAGUCCUG
rnacentral:lncRNA from 1 species